rnacentral:rRNA from 1 species
CCUACGGGUGGCAGCAGUGGGGAAUAUUGCGCAAUGGGCGAAAGCCUGACGCAGCGACGCCGCGUGAGGGAUGAAGGUCUUCGGAUCGUAAACCUCUGUCAGCAGGGAAGAACGGUCACUGUGCUAAUCAGCAGUGAAUUGACGGUACCUGCAAAGGAAGCACCGGCUAACUCCGUGCCAGCAGCCGCGGUAAUACGGAGGGUGCGAGCGUUAAUCGGAAUUACUGGGCGUAAAGCGCUCGUAGGCGGUAUGUCAAGUCAGGGGUGAAAGCCCCGGGCUCAACGUGGGAACUGCCUUUGAAACUGGGAAACUGGAGUGUGUGAGAGGAUAGUGGAAUUCCAGGUGUAGGAGUGAAAUCCGUAGAUAUCGGGAGGAACAUCAGUGGCGAAGGCGACUAUCUGGCACAUAACUGACGCUGAGGAGCGAAAGCGUGGGUAGCAAACAGGAUUAGAUACCCCAGUAGUC